rnacentral:rRNA from 1 species
GUGAACGCUGGCGGUAGGCCUCACACCUGCAAGUCGCACGGCAGCACAGUAAGAGCUUGCUCUUACGGGUGGCGAGUGGCGGACGGGUGAGGAAUACAUCGGAAUCUACUUUUUCGUGGGGGAUAACGUAGGGAAACUUACGCUAAUACCGCAUACGACCUACGGGUGAAAGCAGGGGAUCUUCGGACCUUGCGCGAUUGAAUGAGCCGAUGUCGGAUUAGCUAGUUGGCGGGGUAAAGGCCCACCAAGGCGACGAUCCGUAGCUGGUCUGAGGGGAUGAUCAGCCACACUGGAACUGAGACACGGUCCAGACUCCUACGGGAGGCAGCAGUGGGGAAUAUUGGACAAUGGGCGCAAGCCUGAUCCAGCCAUACCGCGUGGGUGAAGAAGGCCUUCGGGUUGUAAAGCCCUUUUGUUGGGAAAGAAAAGCAGCAGGUUAAUACCCCGCUGUUCUGACGGUACCCAAAGAAUAAGCACCGGCUAACUUCGUG